rnacentral:rRNA from 1 species
AUUGAACGCUGGCGGAAUGCUUUACACAUGCAAGUCGAACGGCAGCACGGACUUCGGUCUGGUGGCGAGUGGCGAACGGGUGAGUAAUGUAUCGGAACGUGCCCAGUCGUGGGGGAUAACGUAGUGAAAAUUACGCUAAUACCGCAUACGAUCUAUGGAUGAAAGCGGGGGAUCGCAAGACCUCGCGCGAUUGGAGCGGCCGAUAUCAGAUUAGGUAGUUGGUGGGGUAAAGGCCCACCAAGCCAACGAUCUGUAGCUGGUCUGAGAGGACGACCAGCCACACUGGAACGGAGACACUGUCCAGCCUCCUACGGGAGGCAGCAGUGGGGAAUUUUGGACAACGGGCGAAAGCCUGAUCCAGCCAUUCCGCGUGAAGGAUGAAGGCCCUCGGGUUGUAAACUGCUUUUGUACAGAACGAAAAGGUUUCUACUAAUACUAGGAGCUCAUGACGGUACUGUAAGAAUAAGCACCGGCUAACUACGUGCCAGCAGCAGCCGUAA